rnacentral:rRNA from 1 species
AUUGAACGCUGGCGGCAUGCCUUACACAUGCAAGUCGAACGGCAGCACGGGAGCAAUCCUGGUGGCGAGUGGCGAACGGGUGAGUAAUAUAUCGGAACGUGCCCAGUCGUGGGGAUAACGUAGCGAAAGCUACGCUAAUACCGCAUACGAUCUAUGGAUGAAAGCGGGGGAUCGCAAGACCUCGCGCGAUUGGAGCGGCCGAUAUCAGAUUAGGUAGUUGGUGAGGUAAAGGCUCACCAAGCCGACGAUCUGUAGCUGGUCUGAGAGGACGACCAGCCACACUGGGACUGAGACACGGCCCAGACUCCUACGGGAGGCAGCAGUGGGGAAUUUUGGACAAUGGACGCAAGUCUGAUCCAGCCAUUCCGCGUGCAGGAUGAAGGCCCUCGGGUUGUAAACUGCUUUUGUACGGAACGAAAGGUUUGUCUUAAUACGAUGAGCUCAUGACGGUACCGUAAGAAUAAGC